rnacentral:rRNA from 1 species
GACGAACGCUGGCGGCGUGCCUAAUACAUGCAAGUCGAGCGAAGUUUUUCUGGUGCUUGCACUAGAAAAACUUAGCGGCGAACGGGUGAGUAACACGUAAAGAACGUGCCUCAUAGACUGGGACAACUAUUGGAAACGAUAGCUAAUACCGGAUAACAGUAUUUCUCGCAUGAGAGAUAUUUAAAAGUUGGUUAUGCUAACACUAUGAGAUGGCUUUGCGGUGCAUUAGCUAGUUGGUGGGGUAAAGGCCCACCAAGGCGACGAUGCAUAGCCGACCUGAGAGGGUGAUCGGCCACACUGGGACUGAGACACGGCCCAGACUCCUACGGGAGGCAGCAGUAGGGAAUCUUCCGCAAUGGGCGAAAGCCUGACGGAGCAACGCCGCGUGAGUGAAGAAGGAUUUCGGUUCGUAAAGCUCUGUUGUUAGGGAAGAAUGGAUAUGUAGUAACUAUACAUGUAAGAGACGGUACCUAACCAGAAAGCCACGGCUAACUACGUG